ensembl:snRNA U4 U4 spliceosomal RNA
AUCCCUUCGCAGUGGCGAUAUCAUAGCCUAUGAGGUCUAGCCGAGGCGUGAUUAUUGCUGGUUGAAAACUUAACCCAAUACCCCGCCGGGACGACUUGCAAUACAGUCGGCCCUGGCAAUUUUUGAUAGUCUCGUCAGUAGACUUUUAGGUGUGUCGAAAAAAAGAGA